AAAUGGAGUCUUCGGCAUUGAUUAAGAAAGAGGAUGAUGUUGAAAGCGCAAAAAUAUGUAGACGGUGUAUGUCGACUGGUGAUGCUUUGGAAGCUCUAACGCGCGACGAAUCCGGACAGUUUACCGGUCUGCAGAUUAAGUUCGAACCUGGAAUUCCGUCGCAUUUGUGCACGAUGUGUGGAUCGCGUUUGAAAAACCAUCUUGACCACUCCGCCGAACAAAUGGAUGGCACGG